AGAGUUUGAUCCUGGCUCAGGAUGAACGCUAGCGGCAGGCUUAAUACAUGCAAGUCGAGGGGUAGCAUGAUUGUAGCAAUACAAUUGAUGACGACCGGCAAACGGGUGCGGAACACGUACACAACCUUCCUACAAGCGGGGAAUAGCCCAGAGAAAUUUGGAUUAAUACCCCGUAACAUAGCGAUGUGGCAUCACAUUGCUAUUAUAGCUUCGGCGCUUGUUGAUGGGUGUGCGGCUGAUUAGAUAGUUGGCGGGGUAACGGCCCACCAAGUCUACGAUCAGUAGCUGAUGUGAGAGCAUGAUCAGCCACACGGGCACUGAGACACGGGCCCGACUCCUACGGGAGGCAGCAGUAAGGAAUAUUGGACAAUGGACGCAAGUCUGAUCCAGCCAUGCCGCGUGAAGGAUUAAGGUCCUCUGGAUUGUAAACUUCUUUUAUAAGGGACGAAAAAAGGUCUUUCUAGAUCGUCUGACGGUACCUUAUGAAUAAGCACCGGCUAACUCCGUGCCAGCAGCCGCGGUAAUAC
rnacentral:rRNA from 1 species